rnacentral:rRNA from 1 species
UACGUAGGUGGCAAGCGUUGUCCGGAUUUACUGGGCGUAAAGGGCGUGCAGGCGGUCUGUUAAGUCUAGGGUGAAAGCUCCCGGCUCAACUGGGAGAGGUCCUUGGAUACUGGCAGACUUGAGGAGAGUAGAGGAGAGUGGAAUUCCCGGUGUAGUGGUGAUAUGCGUAGAUAUCGGGAGGAACACCAGUGGCGAAGGCGGCUCUCUGGGCUCUACCUGACGCUGAGACGCGAAAGCGUGGGGAGCGAACAGG